AGAUGCUUCUGGGUCGCGGUGUGCUAAGCGAGGAGUCCGAGUGUGUGAGCUUGAGAGCCGCGCGCUAGAGCGACCCGGCGAGGGAUGGCGGCCACCGGGACCGCGGCCGCCGCAGCCACGGGCAGGCACCAAGAGCUGCUUUGAAACAAAAGAAGAAGUUCUUCAGUACUGUCAGGAGAUGUAUCCAGAGCUACAGAUCACAAAUGUGAUGGAGGCAAACCAGCGGGUUAGUAUUGACAACUGGUGCCGGAGGGACAAAAAGCAAUGCAAGAGUCGCUUUGUUACACCUUUCAAGUGUCUCGUGGGUGAAUUUGUAAGUGAUGUCCUGCUAGUUCCAGAAAAGUGCCUGUUUUUCCACAAAGAGCGGAUGGAGGUGUGCGAGAAUCACCAGCACUGGCACAUGGUAGUCAAAGAGGCAUGUCUGACUCAGGGAAUGACCUUAUAUAGCUACGGCAUGCUGCUCCCAUGUGGGGUAGACCAGUUCCAUGGCACUGAAUAUGUGUGCUGCCCUCAGACAAAGAUUAUUGGAUCUGUGUCAAAAGAAGAGGAGGAGGAAGAGGAGGAGGAAGAGGAAGAGGA
rnacentral:sRNA from 1 species